UACGGGGGGGGGCAAGCGUUGUUCGGAAUUACUGGGCGUAAAGGGCUCGUAGGUGGCCAACUAAGUCAGACGUGAAAUCCCUCGGCUUAACCGGGGAACUGCGUCUGAUACUGGAUGGCUUGAGUUUGGGAGAGGGACGCGGAAUUCCAGGUGUAGCGGUGAAAUGCGUAGAUAUCAAGAGGAACACCUGAGGCGAAGGCGGGUUGCUAGGCUGACACUGACGCUGAGGUGCGAAAGCGUGGGGGAGCAAACAGG
rnacentral:rRNA from 1 species